ensembl:lncRNA
AUAAAUUUGAAGAAAUUAACUAACUUUCUAUGCAUCUGGACGAAGAGCGUGUGGCUGGAUGUGCUUAUUCUGUCUAUGCAAGUCUUCCUGCAGGUUGGUGUUUAAGCUAUACUUGUGUGAAUCGAGACCGCCAUCCCAUGGUUGCUCUCAGAUUUGUUCUCAGAGAGAGAAAUGGCUGUUACCCCCCGCCCACCUUUCUUUACAGGGUGGUUGUACUGAAACAAAAGACCACGUCCUUCAUAUAUUCAGCGCUGUGUUUUGACAUGCUGUGUAUUGAGUUAAACCUCUUCCCAGCUGCCAAAAAACCUUCAACUUCACUUACCUAUGGCACGUAACUUUCAGUGCUCUGAAAAGUUAUCGAAGGGCAGGAGGGCACAGGAAAAGAAUAAAACAAAGAGAUUUUACAGCCAGACUACAGUGAACCUGCAGUAUAGUUAUACUGGUACCAUAAAGGAAUCAUUUCGGAUGCUGCUACUUUUGUUUGCCAAGGUAAAUGCUAUAGCAGAGCUAUGGCCAAAUGAAUUCCUGAAAGUAAUCUUUAUUUGGUAAAGAGACAAACUAUGAUGCUACAGUAAUUUUGUAUUGCAGUACUUCACUAUGCUGUAGUUUCUCACAGGGGAGGGUUGAAUACCUAAUGUUGUUUAGGGAGCCAUGAUAGCUUUUACAUUUUUACAGAUGCUUUCUAAAAUAAGCUAACAUCACCUGCUUGUUUUCCAAGCAUUCUCUGCAGAAUGGCUUUAGUGCACUCUUAAUACAACAGUUUCUGUCUUCAGUAGGAAUCCUCAAAGUAAAUCCUGGCAAUGGGAGAGAAGGACAGAAUAGCUUUCUGUUUCUGAAAGGGAAAUAGCUGUUUGCUUGAGACUACUUACUGGUAUGUGUCCCACUUGAAAUGUUGUGUGCUCCUGCCAAGUUUUACAGGGUGUUUAUUUAAUAUGAGUUUCUGCUGAAUGUGUAAAUUUUCUUGACUACGUUGUGCCUGACAUAUCCAUAUGUGAAACUUAAGAGGGCUGGUCUGCACAGGAACAAUCCAUAAAUGUAAGGAAAUUGGCUGAACACAUAAAGUCAAUACACCUAAAUUACUCUAUCUUAAACUCUCCUGUGGAUAAUUUCUUUCUGGAGUAGAGUGAUUUCAUUUUAUUGCAUAGUAAGCCAAAAGGUAAAAUUACUUCACAACUGAAUGAGAACAUCCACGCUGUGUAACUGACUGUAAUUGAGGGUGUUUGCAAACAUCCUCUGGUUAAUCUACAUUCUGGUUAAACUGAGCUAAGAAACCUGCUUCCCAAACCGUCAUCAUUCAGAAGGCAAAGGCUGCUGCCUUUACCUAUACAGCCAGCUAUCUAAGGACUCUGUCCUGUUUCAGUACAAAUUUAGGCAAACCGCAUUAAUAAUUAUUAAUAACUAAGUCACAUAAUUUGCUUAGAAGCUUUGAAGAAGUGCUCUACUGGCUGAAUUGGUAGAAUAAUGUGCAUUAGGUGAUGUAGAAACUAUCAGCUGACAAAGCAGGAGAUAAAAAAUUUUGUGCUGCUGUGAAUGAAGGUGAUUUUCUUCAUUCUCCAUUGUUCUUUUGUUUUCACUAUCGCCGCGUGGUCCGAACCAGAAUUGACAGCAUCCUCUCCUUAUCAUUUACCAAAAUUCCUUGAAACUCAUCUUGUUCAUUUCGCUUUGGGUUAUCUUGAAAAAUGCUAUUGCAAAUGUGAUUAACUGUGCUCCUAAAACGGAAUUCUUUUCUUCAGAAUAUGAUGUCAUUCUUCAGUGCUGCUUAGAUGUAGGAGAAUUAGAAGGACAUUGAGUGCAGUUAAUUCCAUUGAUUGUUAACAGCACAAAUGACACAAUCUAUUUAUUGUAUUCUUCACCUAGUUCAUGGCCAUAGCCUUGCUUAAAUAUGGUAAUAUUUCUAACACCUACACUCAUCCAGUGAUCAGGAGCCAUUGUGCUUUAGGUCAAAAAUAGGUUCCCACAUCUGACAUCCUGAAUAUGUUGUUUAUUGUUGUUGUAUAUGAAGCAGGUACAGACAGGCCAGGACAAUAAUUACAUUUAUUAAUAGUCAAAUUUUAUCCAGAUAUGGAAUUUGUGAAUAUACAACACUGCUUUAUUGACAUACCUUGUCAAGUGGUGAAAACUGUAAGUAUAAUGUCCUCACUGAAGAAGAUUGAACCAGUGAAUUAUUCUAUUAGUAGAGUACGUAAUUUUUGUACGGAUAAAGCACGUAUUUGAUUUCCUAUGCUUGAAAUCACAUUUUAAAAUACUAAUAUUGCAAUACAGCCAGUAGGUGGCGAUAGCCAUUUAAUUUAUUAAACUAUGUCAGCUCCCCAGCUCACGCUCUAGUGUUGGUACUCACGUUACCUUUGAGCCUUACAAAAAAAGAAAUUAAAAAAAUCACUCUUGAAGAGUCUUUCUGAGUGUACUCUCAACUUUGUAGUUGAAGGAUUUGCUGUGCAGGGAAAUGCAACAGCAUUUGUCGGAGCAGUGUCAGAGUCACGUCAAUUUAAGCUCCGGUUUCCUGUUCUUCUAUAUAUUGAAAGUAUUAGCUUAUUAUGCAUUUUUCCUUACAUUAUAUAUAUGUUUAUGAUGUAUUCUUUAGCAACUAGGAGCAAAUGUUCCCAAGGCCUUUUUUUUUUUUUUUUUUCUGUGGCAUGUAUAUAUGCCUUUGUACUUAGAGUCAGGGAGCCACUUGAAAGCUGUAGAUUGUAUGCAGAUACCCACUGGUAGUAUAGGUGCAAUAUCAUAUAAGAUAAAAAAUUAGAUUUAUUUUCUCUGAAUGAUACAGAAUGUUAUUAUUGGUAGGAUAUGAAGAAGAAAAGGCUUGUGUAUAGUUCUUAAAAGUGUUUAGAGUACAAUAGCAGUGAUAGUUGGGAGUCUGUUUAGGACAAAGCCAUGAGGGGUUUUCUCAGAUUAGUGAGACAUUACUCUUAUAAAAUGUUAUGCAAUGCUAUUUUGAUUAACUGUGUGUUAAAAAAAUCUAGUCCUUGACUUGUCAAUAGAUUGGUUUUGUUUUCUGCAAAUAGACAUCAGGUGGCUCUGCUGCUUGAACCAAAUGUUCAGCUUUAUCUUCAGCCAGAAAUUUAAUAUGAAAUGAGAGUGAAAGAGAACGUCCAUGAAAGAAGAGGAUAAACAGGAGGCAGAUGGUCCAUGUGUGUAACUUGCAUUGCCAGAUAGUGGAUUAAGAUGAUCUUUUUGAAUGCUACUUCACAACCUUAGAGCAACUGAGAGAAGUUAGGUUUCCAUUAGCUAUUGAAUGAGAAAAUUUAUUCCAGUCUUCAUAAGAACAUCUCCCAUUUCCUGAACUAGAGGAGAAGAUGCUAAUCUAAAGAGUGACCUAGAAGCAGUGUAAGUAGAGGGAAGCACAAAAGUGCCAUCUCCCUGCAUGGUUCUAUCAAACCCAUUUACCAUACUGAUCAGAGACUGAGUCAGAGCUAGAAAGCAGAUGAAAUUCACAGGAAAACCAUUUGAGCAGUCAAUAAUUUUGCAGUUCGCAACAAUGCAUUAGAACUGUUUCUUCAGCCACAGUGUUGUAGGAUGGUUCCCCUGACUGGAGGGCUAUGAUGAAUUGUGCUCUGUAUAACAAAGUAGCUCAGAUGCAAGGAGCUUUGCUAUGAAAAGGACAAGUCUGUCAGCAGUUUAUGGGAUCAGAAGGGAGGCCAUGAAGCAGACAUAGUGAUAGGAUUCUGCUACUGGUUGCCCAGACAAGAAAAACAUAGCCUUCCUUAAACAAUUGGAAUAAGUCCCAUAGGCCCUGCUUCUCAAAUGGAGUCUUGAAUCAUUCUGACAUCUGCUGGAUGGACAUCACAUCAGGGAACAGGUAGCUGAUGAGAUUUCUGGAGUACAUGGGGGACAAUUUUGCGGUUCACUUAGGUAGACUGACUAGAAGGGCUCCACUGACCUGACCUUCUGAAUAUGUAAGAGCUGGUACAGAAUGAGAAAGCUUGACAGCAGACUUGGCUACAGUGACCAUAAAAAGAUGUUAAAGGAAUUAAGGAAAGGGAAUAGUAGUCUGACAGCUUAGGACUUUGUGGGCUUUUUCAGGGAAUUAGCAGGAAGGAUCUCGUGAGAGGUUGAAGGGCAAAUAUGCCCAGGAGAACUGGCUAGACAUCAAGGAUAUUCUAUUUAAAUCAGAAUAAAGAAAGAAAGAAAGAGAGAGAGAGAGAGAGAGAAAGAAAGAAAGAAUGGAAAAGCAAAAGAUAGCCUAAGCGUAGAAAAGAAAUGGAUAGAAGCUAGUAGCUGGAAGCGGGGUCAAGCCACCUGUAAGAAAUUAGGAAGUAUCACCUGGGUAUACAAUGAGGACCUCGAAUGGGAUAGGCAGUCUUGUACCAAAGGAUACAAACAAGUUCAGUGUCAUCAUUGCCUUGGUUUUUACUAGCAAGCUCUCCUCUCAGAUUUAUCAGGCUCCUUUUGUUCAGUAGCAAAACUUGAGAGAAAGAGGUAUUACAAAUGGUAAAGGACAAUCAAGUUAGAAACUACUUAAACUGGAAGUACUGAAGUUGAUAGGCCUGGAUAGGAUUAAUGCAUUUCAAGGUGCUGAGGAAGUUGGCAGAUGUCAUUACCAGGUACCUCUCUUUUAUCAUCCAAAGGUUAUGGUGAACACAGCUGUUGGGUGAGUUGAGAAAGAGAAAUGUCAUGCUCGUCUUCAGAAGUGGUAGGAGAAGAGAUCUGGAAACCAAAGGGUGGUGAGCCUUACCUCAGCCUGUUAGAAUCAUAGAAUCAUAGAAUCGCUCAGGUUGGAAAAGAUGUUAAAGAUCAUCAAGUCCAACCACAACCAUAUUACCCUAACUCUAACAACCCUCCACUAAAUCAUGUCCCUGAGCACAACGUCCAAAUGGUUUUUGUAAACCUUUUCCAGUCACAUAAAGAGAAGAAAGGUAAAUGGAAAGUGCUAGUGUGGAUUUAUUGUGCCUGGCAAUCCUGAUUACUUUCCAUGGUGAGAUGAUUGGUUCUAUGGAUAAGAGUAGUGCCUGUAGAUUACCUUGAUUCUAGCUAGAUCUUUGUUCUAGUUUGUUAGAAAUUCUUAUAGACAAACAGAAGAGGUAUGAACUGGACAGCUAGACUACGAAGCUAGUGAUAAACUGGCUGGAUUGUUUGGUUUGAGGUGUAGAGGUCAGUACUUAAAAGUUUAAAUGACAACCAGUUGAAGAUGCAUCCCUCAAGUGUUGAUGCUAGAGAAAUUGUUUUUUAACAUCUUUAUCAACAAUCUUGCUGAUGGGGUAGGAUUUUGCUUUCAUGAACAACACCAAACUGGAGUGAGCAAUUAAUACCCUGCAGGGCUGGGCUGUCACUUGGAGGAACUUUGACAGCUAGAGAAAUGGGGCUGGUAGAGACAUCAUGAAUAUAAACAAAGUCCUGCACCUGUGAUGGAGUGAUGUCGUGCAUCCAUAGGGAUAACAGCUCUGCAGGAAGGCACGCUACAGACAAGUUGAACACAAGGGAGCUUUGUACCCUUAGGUGAUGAAGACCAACCAUCUAUUGGGCUAAGGUAGUAAAAGUAUAUCAAUCAAGCUAAAGGUAGUGAUUAUUCACGUUUCAUGUUUGAGACCACAUUUGAAAUACCUUUCCUAGCUUCAGGUUCCUUGGUACCAGCAAGAUAUUGAUUGACAAAGCGUGAACAUACGCAUGAAAAACUGAUGAGCAGAUAAACUGAUUGUUUUGUCUGGAUAAGGGUAAGGGUCAAUGAGUCUAACUGCUAUCUGAGGAGGCUUAGGAAACUCCAUGCCAGAGGACUUUUUGAAACAACAUAUUUAACUUGCAGUUGGCUCUACUUUGAGUAGGAGAGGGCACUUGGUGAUCUUCAGAGGUCCCUUUCAAUACAUUUUCUUCUGUGAGUGAAUGAUUAUCUUAAUAUGAGGCCUUAAUGCGAUUACUGGCAAGCUAGAUAUGUUUCAUAGAAAUCAUUAAAAUUAAAAAAAAAAAAAAAAAGUGUAAUUCUUCAUCAAAGUCUCCAGGUAAUGAAGACAGUGAGCAGUCUGCAUUUAUUAAUCAUGCUUACCUAUAGCCAAAGCAGAAAAUAUUUCAAAUAUCUAUCAGUGCCCUGAGCACACUAAUGGCUUGAGGGUACUAAUGCCCUGUCCCUGUCCACUGCUGAGGCUCCCUCACAUGGCCAGGAUCACCACGUCAUCCCGGCGCCACUCACCCCUGCCCCAGUAAGGCAGCAGGGAUGGGCUCCAGCUCCCCACAACCCUGCCCUGCCUGACCAUAGUCUGAUGCAGUUUCCGAAGGGCCGUGAAGGUUGCCAUGAGCACCAAGAGUACUUUUUUGUUGUUGGAAUUUUAUUUUAUUUUUUACUUCUGCUGUUGUGGCUAUUUGAGUUUAUGUCAAUAGUUUAAAUGCAUGGUGGAGUAAGAAGUUGAACAUGGCUCUCCCGUGCCCUUUCUGAAGGUUUUAAACACUGAGCUGUAAAAUCAUUAUGAAGGGAAAAGUAAAAUUAGUAUGCAAAGUUUCUUUCUCAGGACUAUACACAGUGAUUAUAUCCCUUUUACAUACUGCUAACACAGAGCUCAUACGUAUACCAACGCUGUGGUAGAAAUUUGUCUUUGAUUGCGUUAAUUUCUUUUCAUUGAAAACUUUGGGCGUUUCUCAGAGAGAAAAACAUCUCAAAUAUAUUUAUGAGCUGGGGAUUUUCUUUCCCAGGCGGUUUGCCUUGCAGAAAAGAUGAUCUCAUUUGCUGAGCCAUGCUGCCAGCAUUCUUCCUUUUCAUGAAAGGAAAUUAUGGCUCCUGUGAAAGUGUCACAAAUGACACGGAGGGUUGGCAGCACAGAAUCAUUAUUGCUUGUUGAGUAAACAUUUUCAAGCAGAGAAUAAAUAAAUCCUCAUCAUAACUGAGGAUUUGGAGAGGGGUAAUAGAGAACUGUAUUAGGACAUUGUUAGCAUUUAAAUGUGCCUGUUACCAAGCUAUAGCAAAAUUAACUACCGUGACUACCAUUACACUGUCUUGCAACACUUGUCUUGUGCCCCCUCCCCGGCGCUCCUUGGCCCCCUAAUUUUUCCCACAGAGCUGGGUGGUGUUUCCCACCCGGCCUUUGCCCCCAGCAGCAAAGAGAGGCAUCUCUGUCUGCUGACUGAGCUCCCUAUAGCCCCUUCCAAACUUGCAGGGAAUUUCUCUGCACAAAGGGUGGCUCAGAGCUGGCAGGUGUGGGGUGCGGGUGGCUAGGAAUGGGGGGAAUGUGAUUAUGUGUCAGGGAGGUGCAGGAGGGGAAGGCUUCUCUUCUGCUGUGUGCUACAGGCUUCACCACGUGCUGCUGACCUCAGCACAAGAUCAGCUCACAAUGUAAAGACCCCUACCUGUCUCAUUUUCAAAAGGUUUUAUUGAGUUUUACUACUCUGAUGGUAUUGGGUAUAUGUAAAUUUUAUAGAAGAGUCACAUGGUGACUCCUACAAUUGAAGUGACUUUUCUUUUAUUGUUCUUUUAUUUUCUGCCCAAAUGAACACGUUAUUUGGGAGUGUGCUAGUGACUGGUAUCUCUGACAGUAUGACAGUGAACUACUUGCCUGACCUUAAAACAGCGACUGCAUUAUGUUGGUACAAGUUCCUGCUAUACUGUUAGUGGUUUGCAUGCUUGAAUUCACACUUUGCAAGGCUUUGAAGAAGUGGCAGUUCACACAAGAUUGCAGGGGAUGAAAGAUGACCUUUAAAAGUCUCAGUGAAGCAGCACAGCAUACUUUCUAACUAGAAUGGAUGUUCAUACAGGCUGAUGACCUGGAGGUGAGAGCACAGAUUUUGUCUUGGGUGCUGGCUAGCAGAAAGAUCUUAGUGCAUGAGCUUUUUAUUUAGGAAUUCAUUUUUCUAGGGGGUCCUUAGGAAUGGAACAUCACUCUCCUUAAGGCGUGUCUGAAACUGCAGCUGUUCAUCCAGUUUAUUGCACUUCCAGAGGCCGAAAGUUUGCUUUUUGUAGCUUAGAAAACCUCUUUGUAGGUUUUCUAUGUCCGGCAGUUGACUGAUGGUCAUCGUUUUCUCCAUUGUCCCAUUAAUGCUCAAAGGCUUUAAUUUGGAGAUAUUUUAUUUUUUUAUUAUUUUAUCUUUAUAAGGAAAAACAAUGAUAGAGAGCUUAAGGCUGUACAUGUCUUUCUAAACCCAGUAGGACCAGUUUUCUGAACUCUAGCUCUGUCACCAAGAUCAUGGGCAGACUCUGGUCCAAAUUUCUUACAGCCAGCUCCCUCUGAAGCAUGUGUCCUGGAUUCAGGCAGCUGGAGUGGUGCAAACCAAAGCAGAGGAGGAGGCUGCCAUCUAAGCAGUGUGAAGUCCACUGCAUGAGCCUGCUCAGCUUGUUUGGUUGUUUUUGUGUUGCUGUCUUUUUUAGUAUUUAUUUUUUUACUUAGCAGUGUCAACAAACCUUAAGAAAACAGACAAAAUAUGUAUCACUUUUAUUCUGCCAGUACAUACAAAAUGCCACCUCUGAAUGUAUUUGUACCACUUGCAAGGCAGCGUACCUAGUAGAUGUCAAUACAAGCUCAGUUGGACUAUCCAUAAGAAAUGAUUAUUGUAUAAUUGUAGUAUCUUACGCUGAAGGACCGGAGUGAUGGCUGCACUCAGUUUUUCAUAAAUGAAAACCUACUGCACUAAAUGAGACGGUUAAUUCACCAAAGCAUGUUUACUGUGGAAUUCACACCCAACUGCAGCAUAUGUAUGUUACUAUUACAUAAUGAAUAAAUUAUUAUGAGCUGCGACCCCCAGAGGCAUCCAGGUGCCUGAGUGUCUCCCCUCCAGUGAGUGAACUGCAGCCACUUUGACUGGUGGUAGCUGGUGCUUAGCAUACCCAGCUCAGAAGUAAGUCUCCAGGCAUCCAUAAGAGGCUUUCCAGUAAACAAGAUAGCCCCUCUAAUGAUGAAUGAGUUCUUCUUUAUUCUUAUGGCUUGAGGUAUUUAUCUUCUUGCAUCACUUUCUGAUUUCCAGUGCUAUAGUAAGACUGCUGUAAUUUGCAAUGUAAGAGUAGUGUGAAGCUCAGUUUGUUCUGUUUAAUAUAGUGUGUGGACUGAAAUUCAAGUAGAUAGCAAUAUUUCAAAGCAAAUAAAUACAUCUGUGUAAGUCAAGUCAAAUGCUAAAGCAUAAUCAGUCUCAAAGUGAAGUAUCAUUUGACCAGUGAAUGAAUUCACCAAGCUGCUAACAGUGAAGAAAUUGGAGUUCCUUGGUACACGAAAGUUUAUUGCCUAGAGAUGAUAGUGCUUGUCUCCCUGUGGACUUGUGGGGAAAAGCCUCACAUCAGCCUCACAUAUGCUAAUAAAGAUCAAUAUUUCUUAUUUUCUCUUCUCAUAGUAAGGAAAUUAAUCCACGGUGUUACUUUAGAAAAAUAACCCAAGUGGUAGAUUUGGGCAGAGAAAUUCUUACCUACACCUCAGUUUUAUUCCACAGGAAGCCUAGUGAUUACUGCUUUGCUAAUGCAUGAGCUUAUUUGGAAAAGCAGCUUUGAGCAUGCAUAUGAAAUGGUAGCCACCCUUUGCCACUGCAUGGGCCAUUCUACUCUCAGCCCUUUGUUUUAGUAAAUAUGUUCCCAGUGGGGCAAAAUUCUUGCCAAGCCUCUUAGAAGGUGUCCUUAUACCCAUACUUCAGUUUUCCACAUAGACUUUUUUUUUUUUUCUUUUUCCCCUCAACUGUUUGUUGUUAAUACAGCUUCAGGUUUCCAUUAGUACAAUAUUUGAGUGUCUCAGUCUAAAGUGUGUUUAUUUUUUCAGGUCCACGUGAAACAGGGAAGGCUCUCUGAUAUUUCUUUUCAGGUCAUACUUUGGUGGGGAGAGAAUAGAAACACAGAGAAGCUCAGAUUCUACAAUACAGUGAGGUGCCAGACUCCUACGUGUCAGAAAUUCCUCCGUGUGUUGGAGGGUCUGAGCAUGGCUUGGUUCACAUCACAAAGAAAGCAUGUGGCAGACUGGGGAAUGCAGACAAUGAAUUGGCCUGCUGUGCCUCCAGUGAAAAUGGGCUUGGAGGGCACGCAUUUAAUGACCGUCCAGAAACAAGAAGCAAAGGCAGUGAGCAGGAGGGUUUGGAAAAGAGUAGUGCAUUUCUUACGUAGGGUCUUUACUGGAUCAAACUAAGGUGUGGCUGUACCUGUCAGCAUGAAUUGUUACUGCACUCGGAAGAGGCUGUUCAUUGGAAGAUACUCAAAUUAAAAACAGAGUCCUGUAUUUUCAAGAACUGCAGGGCAAAGGGAAAGAAUAUUCAUACCAAACAUUUUUAACAUACAUAUAUUGGUAUUAUUGGCCCUAGCUCCUGACUCAGUGACAAAAGCAUAUGUGCAUAAAGUGAUUUCUUUGAGGUAAAGUUCAUUAUUCAGUCUGCGCAUGCUGAAUGUCUUGUGUUAACCUUCUCUUUAAGCUUAAGAGUAGACCUGCCACAGUCUCCAUACAUCUUGCCUUUCCUUUUGAAUCACAAAGGAUUCACUUCACUUAUAACAGCCCGACUAAACGUGGUGCAAUUCCAACACUACAAUAUAUAUAUGUAUAUAUAUAUAUAUUUAUAUAUAUAGUAUAUAUAUAAAAGAUGUAUCAAGUUUUUAAAAGAAAUUUCUGGAAGCUUAAACAUAGGAAUGAAGGAAUGAAGACUCAGGGCUUUGUGCAAAGCCCCGGGGACAGCCUGCGACUUUGCUGGAACAAAAGUUUCACUAUAAAUACAUUGCGAAAAGCAAACAUAAUGUAGAUAGGUUCAUUGUAUUUCUCUUGCACCUUCUCGCUUUUGUUUAAGUUUAAACCAAUCUUUUGGAACUAUGAGUCAUUUUCAGAACAGAGAGUGAUUCAGGAGAUGUAAUCUUUGUGUUUUAUAGGCCAGCAUCAUUAGAUAGGCCCUAUGCAAAUUAACAGAAACGUCGCUGAACAACAGUGACUGGCUUACCAUGUAUUUAUGGUUGCUUCUAACUCUCAGCCAGAAAACAUAAAUGUCUCUCUGGUGGAAACGUGUUUGGUGAGCAAUAACCCUCUCAGUUGGAGAAGAUCCAUCUGUCUUCCCUUCUACUUCAUGCAUCUUCACCACUGAAAAGAAGUUCAAGGAAAAUCAAGUUUCAGUUGUCAAAAAACCUGAUGCUUAAGAAUGAUUCUGUGAAAUAGACCAAAAAAAAAAGCAGCUGAAUAUUUUGUGGCUUAAUUUCAAGAUUCCCAUCGGUGCUAUAAAAAUACAAUUGAGUUUUAACUACUGCCUUCAUGCUAUCAAGAUGAUCCUGUAAAACUUAACUAUUUUGGUGUUUGCUAUUAUCUGAUUCUUUAGCAUGAAGAGGGAAGCAAAAGUAUUUUCCAAGAUUAUAUUAAUAUUUUCUUUCAGUUACAAGCUACAUCAAUUAAUUUCUUUAUAAACUCUACUAGAACAAGUUCCCACUGAUUCCUGGUUACUAUAAACAACAUCUGGGUACUGCACUGGUGCACAAGUUCUGUAAACACAUACUUUUAUAUCCAUCACAUCCUGAUGUUUCACAAGGAUAAAGCUGAUGUUCCCCUAAAAAAUAGAGAAGGCAGAUGCCUGUAGUGAUUUCACCGAAGUUACAACGUGAAGCAUGUGUGAUGUUAGGUACUUUACAGUACUUCUAAAGGGAGAAAGAAUGUGGCCGCAGAAAGGGAAUCCUGCCCGCAUGUUUGAUUCUUGAAAUGCACGUUAAAAGAUUUUUAUAUAUAAUAAAAGGCAAACAGUAAUAGAACCCCGCAGAUGGAGACAACUGUAGCACAGAGAGUGAAAAAUGUCUCACAGUCGGGCAGUGGCAGAACCAGCAAUGAAACACAAACCUCUUGCUCUGCUGGUUUACUCUCCAACUAAUUCACAUAAUAGGGGGUAGGGCUCUUUGCAGUGCUUCAGGCUGAUGGAGGUUACGCCUACAUAAAGUCCACACUUUUACCCUUGUACAAAGCCCCAAGCCCCUUUUACUUGCUUUUGGAGCCCUCACAGAGACCCUGUAGCUCAGAGGGGAUCUGAGUGUGGGUCAAACAGCAGAUAACAGCUGAGAAGGGUUUUAAGAAAAGGUUUCUGGCUGCUUCUUGGCUGUUUGCUUCCCGGCUGAGGAGGGAGCCCAUCUGUGCAAGCCUUCCUCCUUCAUUUCAGUGCUGGCAGCGAGCUGCAGUCUCUGCUUAGGAGCAGUGCCACGAGCUGUGCCUUCCAGGAACAGGAGAGGAUGCAGCGUGGCCGUGUGGGUGUGUGGUGCACCCUUUGGGCCCCAGACGCAGGGACAAGACAAGCACAAAAGGGAGAGUAGGAAAAUGGAAUAUGCACAACUGGUUUAAUGCCAUGGGUUGUACACGUUUCUGAUACCGGCGUUUGCACUCAUUACGUGAUGUGCUUUCUCUUUAAUGGAAUUCUCUUAGACGUGCUGCUGAUAGGCUCUCUUCCCAUCUCUCCUUGAAUUCAAACAUUAUGGCUGAUUGAAAAAUAAGCAUGCAUUUUUCUGCUUUUUUCUUCUUUCAGUGUUUUUUUUUGGUCAGGUGGAAACAAUGAGGUGAACUCAUUUGUGACAGGCCCUUCUUCAGGCCUCUCCAACGUGGUCUGUAACGAGGGCACAGUGGAAAUUCCACAAAGAAGCCCAGAAGCUUUUCAGUUUGGGCAACCGUGUUGUUGUCUGCGUUUUAUUCGCAUCAAUCAGGUUUUUUUCACACCCAUCUUAGCUUCUUAUUGGUACCACAAGUCAACGCUUGCUGGAAAACGCCACCCUUGGAAAACAACCUGUAACGUACGACUGCUGUCUCUUCGUGUAUUUUCUGCUCAGAUCUUAACAUGCGCUUCCUCUGAAGGCCACCAGCGAUAAUAUUCACUCCCUCUCCAGAACCACAAGUCUGAUUGUGGUGCCAUCCAUGUAACAGAAUGCUGUUGGUGUGUGCUGGUGUUCUCUGUUCAUGCACGUAAACCUGGGACUCCCAGGGAACUUAAGAAGCAUGAGCCUUGUUUGUGAAUCUCCAGAUGGGGGCAGACAUUGAGAUGCACGGCUAGAAUAUUAGGCUGGGAUUGAUUACCCCAGUUCAGCUGUCAGGGAGCAGAAAGAAUUAAACCAAAGUCUCCUGGAUCCCAGGAAAAUGGCAUUACCGAUACCUCAACAUUUGGAGCAUCACAUGGCAGUGGAGGGGCAGCCUGAUACAAUGGUGUCUGACGUGGAAGUGCGGAUGAAGCAAAGGGGUGGCGCUGAACUCCUCCAUGUGGAAAAAAUGUGUUAACUCUGCUGCAAUGGAGCCUGAGGAUGGAGCAUGGAGCAUAUAAACUACAGGAUUGCAAUCCAAGAUAACUCGCACAGUUUAAAAUCCCCUAAGUCAUCAGUAAUAGAAUUCUUGCCAAACUCAAUCACUCCCACCCAAAGCUGAAUUAACUUGCCUCCACUGCAGUAACAGCAAUAUUUUUGCUCUGUCUCAAUACAGACUGAGGGAAAAUGAUGUAAUUGAGUAAAACCUUUAUACUUAUCUGCCUCCAGAGUUUCACUUUGGGCAAUCUACCACUAGAUAUGUAAGUACACAUUUCAAAUCAGUAACCCAAAACUUUCAAACACCUCUGCUUUUGAUUUAGAUAUAUGUUGUCAUUGGCCAUCUAGGUAUUAAAAGACAUUGACUGCACCCAUUCUUAUUAAAAGUUUCAACACAAACUAAGAUAGUCAUGUGCUAUACAUGCAUUUUGGGUCUCAGUGUCCUGAUCUCCCCUCAAGUAGAAAACUGCCUCAGAGGUGUGAAUGGAUUUAUAUGAAGAACAUUCUGUAGAAGCUGAGGUCCAGGUUUAAACAUAGACUUUAAUCGGUGUAGCGGAGAUGGUGGGCAUCGAAGAAGUAGCAUCCUGUUAGCCAAGCCUCCAUGUUUGAACUAUGGCACAGGGCUAGAGCUUCAUGUGCUAUUCAGUUUGCCCAUGGAAAACUGCCCAGACUGCAGACUGUCAGUUUUACAUUCACUUGCAAACAAGUAAGUCAGUGUAUGUAGGAGAAUGGCACAAAGAAACAAUGCUACUCCCUGCCUCAUGCUUGUUGUCAAGUCCCAAAGUACACAACUACCCCACCUUCACAGGGAGAAGAAUAAAUGGAAGUGAUGUCUUACUGGAUCAAAUGUUAUCUUCUUUCUCCUUUAUGUCUUUGUUAUUAGUAAUAAACAAAAGCGAGUUUAGCUUGUUCUUAAAAACGACAAACUCUUCUGUUCUGCUCGUGUCAUCAGGACUCAUUGUUUGGGAUUGUUUACCCUUUGCUAGGAGCUAUGAUGACUUUGCAGGACUUGGAGAGCAUGAAGUGAACUGUCCUGGCUUACUCACUGAGGUGUGGCUGGCACUAAAUGUACAAGAAAACAUAUUUAAAGUAACAGUGCAUGUAAAUCUCGUAGCUCUACUUUUUCACUUUAUCAUCUGAAUACUUCAGUAUGAGAGGAAAAAUGAAGAAUGAUUCUCUUUUUGUAACAUCUGUCUCAGGAGGACACCUUCCCAGUGCACAUAGGACUCAACUUUGAGAUAUUUUCUUUUCAAGAGACAUGGGAGUUUUGAACCAGAGAAAAACAAUUUCUGCGCGAGGUUAA